GUCAGUCUCUCCGGAGCAGGCCAGAGCUGAGACGGGGCUGUCGAGGAAGAAGGGAAGGAGGUGAAGGGGAAAAAACAGAGGGGAGAAGAGGAGAGGCUGAUUUGAGAAAGGAGGUCACGGGCCACAACAAGGCCACGGAACAAAAACAAUAGUAAUCGCUGAGCUGGUGCACGUGUGUGACUGCACAUGCCUGUGUUGGACGCUGCCAGACUCUUUCCAGAUGGGGAUCAGUGUGAAGCAGCUGGACAGUUUUUGGGGGGAUUCAGAAGCGGUCAGGGCCACGUCUGCAUAAACAAAAUCCCCAGAGCAUCUGAAGUGCACUUGACAGACCUUUUGUUCCUGUUUCCCACUACUCUCUGGAGAAGAAGCAGCACCGGUGUGACCUACACAGUGGUUUCCUGGUCAGAGUACCACCAGAGUUUGUCCUCCAUUCUGUGGAACACAGUCUGUAGCUGAACUGUUCUGGCGGCAGCAGAAUUCAAACAUGAGUGAUGGAUGUAUAAUUCACCGUGGAAUUCUAGACGAAGUUUCUAGUCCACACUGAUGCUUCCAUCUUCAGUGUUGGACCACUUGGGAGGCUACACCUGUGAACAAAGGGUUAUGAGGAUCAGGACCUAGGAUAAGGAGUCUGAGCCUCCAGCUGGUUUGGUCUUCAUUGAGGAGGACUUCACUGCUCUCUAUGGUCUAUACUGGUGAUGUUCACUAGUUCAUGAGGUCCAGCAGAACCAAAGGACGGGUAUCUGAUGUUUGGUAUCCACAAAACAUCAUGUAUCUUUUUUAAAGGAGCCUGUUGAUCAGGAACGUCUCUCUGUAGGUCAGCGGAGAGUUCUGGGAUGUGGUUGAGAGAAGUCGCCUUUGUGUGUUAAGAUCUAAGACCCCAGUGAUGUUCAGAGAGCCAGAGUUUGAUCACCAUCUAGUGAGGACCGUUCUGCUCAGUUUCAUGAUGCUGAUAAUGAUGUGUGGUGGUGGUGGAGGUAUUGAUGGUCUGGAAGAGCAGGAGGAGAGAGCAGCUCCCAGAACCUGUGAAGGAGCUGGAGAUGUCCCUAAGUCAAAUGUGGCAAAAGAAAUUCCAGUCUGAGCCUCAAACAUGAUGUAAAUAACUGAUGACA